CGAUCCCGCGCGGGAGAGUCUUCGCCCGGUCCCGGCCGGGCAAGCGCCGAAGGGGCAAUUCCUCCCCGGAACCUCUCAGGCACCCGGACCGCGCAGACCAG
rnacentral:ncRNA from 2 species